rnacentral:rRNA from 1 species
GGAAUUGACGGGGAGCACCACAACGGGUGGAGCCUGCGGUUAAUUGGACUCAACGCCGGGCAGCUCACCGGAUAAGACAGCUGGAUGAUAGCCGGGCUGAAGACUCUGCUUGACUAGCUGAGAGAGGUGCAUGGCCGUCGUCAGUUUCGUACUGUGAAGCAUCCUGUUAAGUCAGGCAACGAGCGAGACCCACGCCCACAGUUGCCAGCGUACUCUCCGGAGUGACGGGUACACUGUGGGGACCGCCGCUGCUAAAGCGGAGGAAGGAAUGGGCAACGGUAGGUCAGUAUGCCCCGAAUAUCCCGGGCUACACGCGAGCUACAAUGGUUGGUACAAUGGGUAUCUACCCCGAAAGGGGACGGGAAUCUCCUAAAACCAAUCUUAGUUCGGAUUGAGGGCUGCAACUCGCCCUCAUGAAGCUGGAAUCCGUAGUAAUCGCGUUUCAACAGAACGCGGUGAAUACGUCCCUGCUCCUU